GACGAACGCUGGCGGCGUGCUUAACACAUGCAAGUCGAACGGAAAGGCCCUGCUUUUGUGGGGUGCUCGAGGGGCGAACGGGUGAGUAACACGUGAGUAACCUGCCCUUGACUUUGGGAUAACUUCAGGAAACUGGGGCUAAUACCGGAUAGGAGCUCCUGCUGCAUGGAGGGGGUUGGAAAGUUUCGGCGGUUGGGGAUGGACUCGCGGCUUAUCAGCUUGUUGGUGGGGUAGUGGCUUACCAAGGCUUUGACGGGUAGCCGGCCUGAGAGGGUGACCGGCCACAUUGGGACUGAGAUACGGCCCAGAGUCCUACGGGAGGCAGCAGUGGGGAAUAUUGCACAAUGGGCGGAAGCCUGAUGCAGCACCGCCGCGUGCGGGAUGACGGCCUUCGGGUUGUAAACCGCUUUCGCCUGUGACGAAGCGUGAGUGACGGUAAUGGGUAAAGAAGCACCGGCUAACUACGUG
rnacentral:rRNA from 1 species